UGCAGAGAGGGGCUGGACACUGGUUUGGAGCACAGCCUCCAUGGGUGGAAGGUGGUGUUUAACCUCCCCAUCAGCCCCUGGCAUGCAGGCAGGUGGUUGAGCCCUUCGUCAUUUUGAUAGGCGGUGAUUUGACACCGGCAGACAGGAGAGGCAAGAGCAUUGCUCUUUUUUAGGUGAGGGCAGGCAAUAAACCUCUGGAAGGAGAGUUAAAGCUAGCAUCUUGCACGAGUUAUAGACUGCAGAAAAUCAGAGGGAGGAGGACUGACUGUGACUACAGCUGAGAGAAAGUUUAUGUGGACAGGGAACAUAUAUCCCCAGAUCAGGAGCUUCCUCGGGGAAGGACGCUGUGCUUAGGAGUUGAGUCCUUGAGGUGAGGCUUUGCAGGAGUUUGGACAGCUUGUUAGCAAAGCAAAGCAGAGAGUGAGCCCCUUCACAGCUCGUUAAAAUCCCAGGUGGAUAUGCAAACUGGUUUUUGUGCUCUUCCUUAUAACUGUUUGGGGGCUUUGACAUACCUGAUCUGUAUUUAUAUCUGUGUAAGUCAUGUCUUCCUUUAUUUUUACCUUAACCCUUGUCUUUUUAUUGCAAGAUGGUGUCAUGGUAACGGACCCACAACUAAGAUAUCCAUAUCUCGGUGUCAGGCAGCCCUUACAGAAACAUGAUGUUUGACUGUUCCCACAGCUUUCCAGCAAAACCAACACUUUUCUAGGGUGCCUGUGGAGCUGGAGAGACUUCAUGACAAAGCUUCGCAGUGAAAAGUUUAGAAAUGAUAAUUUGUGUUUUCCAGGAGGCGAGUGCUCAUUAAAGCUAGCUAGUGGCUCCUUGGCAUACAGUAUGGAGGUGGAAAGAAAACAUGAGUUUCUGCAUGGCCCAGAAAGGCAAAAGGUUUCCUGCAAGAGUCAUUGGACUGUGUCUGGAGAAGACGUUCCUCCUCAGGAAGGACAGGAGGUGCCCGUGGUCAAGGCUGGGGCAAGUGCCGGGGUCAGAGGAAUACCUGGACCAAGCCAUUGCAGAGCAUCCUGAGGCAACGAUGCUUCUUUUGUAUACCUGUUUAUUGCAAUUGCAAGCUUUGGAUGAAAAGCACUUUGUCUUCAUGUGUGCCACUUCAUCAACUAGCAAAUUGGAGUCAGGGAGCAAAUAUAUGGAGACCAAACACAGGUUAUUCUGCACUGCAUAGGUACGUGUGUGCAUACAUAUCCUUAUGCAAGUGCACGCUAUCUCUCCAGUAACCUUUUCUGUCCCUUCUUAGCUUUGUCAAUGUCAAGGUAAAAAUGUGUUCUCUUUGUUUCUUGUCUUUUUAAGCAGUUUUCCUGGCCCGUUGUUCUUCAUUUUUCAUUUGAUUUGAAUCUAAGCUGUGAGGAAGAUGAACCUUUCACCUGCUGAAGAACAUCACUCUUGUGAAUAAGAAUCUAUAUUAAAAGAUGUUAAAAUUCUCUGCAGAAAUGAGUGUUUUAAAGGUAGUUAGAUCUAUUGCCUUUCAAAUCUGACUUUUCAUAUUGCAUUAUAUUGCUCAGUAUAAUGUGUGAAACAUGUAAAGGGUAUAUCAGAG
rnacentral:lncRNA from 1 species